AGGGGCAUGCGCUGUGAUGGCACUCCUUGCCUCAGGGAGCCACCAGGACUGGGUUCCAGCCUUUGUCACGGGAGAGCCUCAGAAAAUAUGUCUAUGAUAAAAUCCCUGUCAAUCUUGCCAACACAAUUCCAAAGUUGAUUCUGUUUGGAGAUUUCCCCUCAGGUAUUAAGAGAUGCUGUUCUGUGUCAUGGUUCCCAGAAAGCCUGCUGCAGGAACAUUGGU